GUCUUCCUUUGUAUCAAUCACAUAAAAGUCUGCUGGAAAGACAAGUUCAUCUACUUGUACUAGAACAUCUUCUAGAACUCCUUUUGGAUACACCACAGAUCUGUCAGCCAACUGAAUCACUACUCUUGUGUCUUUUAGUGCACCUGCAUUCAAAGAAUUAUAAAUAGCAAGAGGCAUAACAUUAAUGGAUGCACCUAGAUCACACAUAGCUUUCUUUAUCCCAACAUUGCAAAUUUUGCAAGAAAUAGCAA
rnacentral:lncRNA from 1 species